AGUAAGAUCAUCUAAAAAAUUAAAGAUAGUUCGCUGUAAACGAAAAAAUAAGGGGCACCAACUCUUUCCAACUA
rnacentral:tRNA from 1 species